UGGGGAAUAUUGCACAAUGGACGGAAGUCUGAUGCAGCAACGCCGCGUGCGGGAUGACGGCCUUCGGGUUGUAAACCGCUUUCAUCCAUGACGAAGCGAGAGUGACGGUAGUGGGAGAAGAAGCACCGGCUAACUACGUGCCAGCAGCCGCGGUGAUACGUAGGGUGCGAGCGUUGUCCGGAUUUAUUGGGCGUAAAGAGCUUGUAGGCGGUUUGUUGCGUCGGAAGUGAAAACUCAGGGCUUAACUCUGAGCCUGCUUUCGAUACGGGCAGACUUGAGGAAGGUAGGGGAGAAUGGAAUUCCUGGUGAAGCGGUGGAAUGCGUAGAUAUCAGGAGGAACACCGGUGGCGAAGGCGGUUCUCUGGACCUUUCCUGACGCUGAGAAGCGAAAGCGUGGGGAGCAAACAGG
rnacentral:rRNA from 1 species